CCAGACUCCUACGGGAGGCAGCAGUGGGGGAUAUUGCACAAUGGGGGAAACCCUGAUGCAGCGACGCCGCGUGAGUGAAGAAGUAAUUCGUUACGUAAAGCUCUAUCAGCAGGGAAGAAAAUGACGGUACCUGGCUAAGAAGCCCCGGCUAACUACGUGCCAGCAGCCGCGGUAAUACGGAGGAUGCGAGCGUUAUCCGGAUUUAUUGGGUUUAAAGGGUGCGCAGGCGGCACGGCAAGCCGGCGGUCAAAUCGCGGGGCUCAACCCCGGCCAGCCGUCGGAACUGCCGGGCUAGAGUGGGCGAGAAGUGCGCGGAAUGCGUGGUGUAGCGGUGAAAUGCAUAGAUAUCACGCAGAACUCCGAUUGCGAAGGCAGCGCACCGGCGCCCUACUGACGCUCAGGCACGAAAGCGUGGGUAUCGAACAGGAUUAGAUACCCUCGUA
rnacentral:rRNA from 1 species